UUUGUUCCAUUGCUAAAUCGCUACAUAUGGUUUAAGAGUUUAUUCUGGGGCACAGUUGAGAUAACAAAGUCUGAAACAUAUUUCCCCCCUCUUGCUCUCCUCCUAGGGCUUUCUUGUCGCCUCUGUGGUAGCUCGUCCUCUCCGACAACUCGCCCCUCUCCAACAGCUCGCCCCUCUCCGGCAGCUCGUCCCUUUCCCUAUAGGGUUUUACAAAGUCUCAGAUUUUUUAGUGGAAGUGACGGUAUUGCACUUUGAAGUUCUUUGCUGGCUAUCUCGAUGGUAUUCCACAAGGACGACUAGCUCUUGAUUUCAGGUGUCAGAGAAUUGUAGACUUGUCGAUGCGUAUCAAAAUUAACCUUAUGGUGAUAUAACUGUGAAAGUUACUUCCAAACUGAAGGAUCAAUUUUAAGUUGAGGUUAUUGUGUAGAUCUAUAUGUAGAGAGGAAGAUUGGAAUUAUAUGUUGAUUGCUGCAAUUGAAGGAUGAUUCUGAAAUUUCAAAGACUUAUUGCUUAACAAUUCAGGAAGGAUAGAGCUAAAAGAUUGUUAAGCAACAGUGAUCACAAGAGCAAUUACAGUAAGAUGAGAUGGAUAUUACAACUCGGAUGUAUUACGAGACCGUGGGAGGAUAGAUGAGGAGAAACACCAUUAUGGCCUCGGGUCCUUCCGAUCCGGAUGAACAUCAAUGUCCAACACUUCAUUAAUUAGCUUUGUUUUUUAGGCUCUAUGCUAUUAGUUGAAGAAAGAUUAUGCACGUUGUUGAUGCUUUAGGAUUUAUGUAUCCUUGGAUCUUCUUGUUAAUCUUUAAAUUACUAUCUAUAUGAAAUCAGGUUCUUGUAA